CGCCCUGCUGAGCCGCUGGGGGGCGCAGACGACCACGGCGCGGUCGGUGGCCGAAGGGAUCGCGGCCAAGGGGCCGUUCGACGCGGCCCUGGUCGACC
rnacentral:tRNA from 1 species